UACAGAGGGUGCGAGCGUUAAUCGGAAUUACUGGGCGUAAAGCGUGCGUAGACGGUUAUCUAAGUCGGGUGUGAAAGCCCCCGGGCUCAACCUGGGAAUUGCAUUCGAGACUGAAUAGCUAGGGUACGGUAGAGGGAAGUGGAAUUUCCGGUGUAGCGGUGAAAUGCGUAGAUAUCGGAAGGAACAUCAGUGGCGAAAGCGACUUCCUGGACCAGUACCGACGUUCAGGCACGAAAGCGUGGGGAGCAAACAGGA
rnacentral:rRNA from 1 species